AACGAACGCUGGCGGCAUGCCUAACACAUGCAAGUCGAACGAGACCUUCGGGUCUAGUGGCGCUCGGGUGCGUACCGCGUGGGAACCUGCCCUUAGGUUCGGAAUCACUCCCCGAAAGGUGUGCUAAUACCGGUUAAUGUCUUCGGACCUAAGAUUUAUCGCCUUUGGAUGGGCCCGCGUUGGAUUAGCUAGUUGGUAGGGUAAAAGCCUACCAAGGCGACGAUCCAUAGCUGGUCUGAGAGGAUGGUCAGCCACACUGGGACUGAGACACGGCCCAGACUCCUACGGGAGGCAGCAGUGGGGAAUAGUGGACAAUGGGCGAAAGCCUGAUCCAGCAAUGCCGCGUGAGUGAUGAAGGCCUUAGGGUUGUAAAGCUCUUUUACCCGGGAUGAUAAUGACAGUACCGGGAGAAUAAGCUACGGCUAACUCCGU
rnacentral:rRNA from 1 species